GAAUCUCUCCGGUGGCCUAAUGGUUAGAGCGUCACCUUCGGAUGCGGGAGGUCUUGGGUUCGAUCCCCUGUCGAGUCA